rnacentral:misc_RNA from 1 species
CGCGACCUGGCCGCAGCCGCUGACCAUCGCCGUCAACGUUUCGGCGGUGCAGAUCUACAACGAGAAUUUCGUGCAGCUCGUGCAUGAAGUGCUGCUGGAAACCGGCCUCGCACCCAGCCGGCUCGAACUCGAGNNNNNNCGCUGGUGCGCGAUCUCAACCGCGCGCUCACGACACUGCGGCGUAUCAAGGCGCUCGGCGUGCAUAUCGCGAUGGACGAUUUCGGCACCGGCUAUUCGUCGCUCUCCAACCUGCGCGCAUUCCCGUUCGACAAGAUCAAGAUCGACGGCUCGUUCAUCAAAUCGGUCAACACCAACGAGCAGGCCGCGACCAUCGUGCGCGCCGUGCUGGGCCUCGGCCGCGGUCUCGGUCUGCCGGUGCUUGCGGAAGGCGUCGAGACGCCGGCGGAGCUGGCGUUCCUGCAAUCGGAACUGUGCAACGAGGUUCAGGGCUAUCUGGUCGGACGCCCCGCGGCGAUCGGAACCUUCGCGACGCUCACCCACCCCGGAAGCGNNNNNNNNNGGCAACAGGCGAGGAAAUCCGCGUCCUGCUGGCGCAGUCGGCCUGAGCUUCGGAUUUGCGGUGCUUUGGAAGUGGUACAGUUGGGUGGGAUCGAACCACCGACC